rnacentral:rRNA from 1 species
AUUGAACGCUGGCGGCAGGCCUAACACAUGCAAGUCGAGCGAGCGGCGGACGUGUGAGCAAUGUAUGGGGAUCUGCCCGAUAGAGGGGGAUAACUACUGGAAACUGUUGCUACUACCGCAUACUAUCGGAUGAACCCAUUUGGGAAUAGCUAGUAGGUGGGGUAAAGGCUCACCUAGGCGACGAUCUCUAGCUGGUCUGAGAGGAUGAUCAGCCACACUGGAACUGAGACACGGCCCAGACUCCUACGGGAGGCAGCAGUGGGGAAUAUUGCACAAUGGGCGAAAGCCUGAUGCAGCCAUGCCGCGUGUAUGAAGAAGGCCUUAGGGUUGUAAAGUACUUUAAGCGGGGAGGCGUUACCCACAGAAGAAGCACCGGCUAACUCCGUGCCAGCAGCCGCGGUAAUUC